UGAUAUUUGGGAUGGGGUUGCAUGCCAUGUUUGUGGGUUCAAAAUAUCUCAAAGGAAAAGGUUCACAGCUCCCCCUUCAAACUUCUUUGGACUUUUCUAUCUCAAGACACUUCCAAGGUGGGUGGGGAUGAAGUCGGUUACAGAAGCAAAGUCGAAAAUCGGGCAAGCUGUGAUGAUGACACUGCAAGUAGGAGUGUUGGAGAAAUUCAAGAGUGUACCUUUGGUUACUGGAUUCGAUCUUGCUUGUUUCGCCGGUGCUGUAUUUGUUUCCUCAGCUUGUUUAUUCCUCCUCUCACAACUCUCUGAUGGUGCUGGUGAUGCUACUGCCACUAAUAAUAUAUCCUAAGAAUGAGAUAGGUACCUAGCCAUGGAAGGAAUGUAUCAUCAACUACUAUCACUGACUAAAACAAGAAGCAUAGCAUACACUUAGCUUGGGAAGAGAAAGCUAAGUAACACACUCGUAUAGUUAGAGGAAUGACAAUAUAAAACCAGUCCUUAGAUUUUUUA